UUUACGUUGGCAGAAUACAUUUUCAACGGCUCCAGACAACUUGUUCAGCCUUUACAUGACCUGGAAUAAGAUAAUUAACAAACUUUUUAUAUUUUACGACAGUUUACAUUAGGAUAAUUGCACUAUAAAUAACUUACAAAUAUUCAGGUCAACCAGACUCGAAGCUUGAACCGUGAAGCUUUUCAGUUGGAAAUCACUACACGACUAAUGAGGACCAUCCAGGGGCCACUCCCUCUAAUGUUGAGAAUCGGGACCCUAACCAACUAUUGAUGAACCCUGAACAAUGUAAAGAAGACCCAUUUGGUUUUAAAACCAAUGUGUAUUAUGAAAAUCAGUUCUUACCUUGGAGAUGCGUGCCUACUGCAAUGAACGUCAUGGAGAUAUGUCAAAACAACAUGGAUUUGACUGUGCCUGAAAAGAACAGUACUUGCUAAGCUGUGGAAUUAGAAUACUACUACUCAGUAGUCAAAAAACAUCAAUAGACCUGGAAGAAGAGAACAAAGGAAAAAAUUGCUGCUAUUUUUGCUGCUAACGUGUCUGCUAUUGUGUUUAGCAAAUAGC